rnacentral:rRNA from 1 species
AUUGAACGCUGGCGGCAGGCCUAACACAUGCAAGUCGAGCGGAUGAAGGGAGCUUGCUCCUGGAUUCAGCGGCGGACGGGUGAGUAAUGCCUAGGAAUCUGCCUGGUAGUGGGGGAUAACGUCCGGAAACGGGCGCUAAUACCGCAUACGUCCUGAGGGAGAAAGUGGGGGAUCUUCGGACCUCACGCUAUCAGAUGAGCCUAGGUCGGAUUAGCUAGUUGGUGGGUAAAGGCCUACCAAGGCGACGAUCCGUAACUGGUCUGAGAGGAUGAUCAGUCACACUGGAACUGAGACACGGUCCAGACUCCUACGGGAGGCAGCAGUGGGGAAUAUUGGACAAAGGGCGAAAGCCUGAUCCAGCCAUGCCGCGUGUGUGAAGAAGGUCUUCGGAUUGUAAAGCACUUUAAGUUGGGAGGAAGGGCAGUAAGUUAAUACCUUGCUGUUUUGACGUUACCAACAGAAUAAGCACCGGCUAACUUCGUG